GAUGAACGCUGGCGGCGUGCCUAAUACAUGCAAGUCGAGCGAACAGACGAGGAGCUUGCUCCUUCGACGUUAGCGGCGGACGGGUGAGUAACACGUAGGUAACCUACCUAUAAGACUGGGAUAACUUCGGGAAACCGGAGCUAAUACUGGAUAAUAUUUCGAACCGCAUGGUUCGAUAGUGAAAGAUGGCUUUGCUAUCACUUAUAGAUGGACCUGCGCCGUAUUAGCUAGUUGGUAAGGUAACGGCUUACCAAGGCAACGAUACGUAGCCGACCUGAGAGGGUGAUCGGCCACACUGGAACUGAGACACGGUCCAGACUCCUACGGGAGGCAGCAGUAGGGAAUCUUCCGCAAUGGGCGAAAGCCUGACGGAGCAACGCCGCGUGAGUGAUGAAGGUCUUCGGAUCGUAAAACUCUGUUAUUAGGGAAGAACAAACGUGUAAGUAACUGUGCACGUCUUGACGGUACCUAAUCAGAAAGCCACGGCUAACUACGUG
rnacentral:rRNA from 1 species